rnacentral:rRNA from 1 species
UGGGGAAUCUUGGACAAUGGGGGCAACCCUGAUCCAGCAAUGCCGCGUGUGGGAUGAAGGCCUUCGGGUUGUAAACCACUUUUGGCGGGGGCGAAAUAUCGAGUGCUAAUACCAUUCGGUGAUGACGGUACCCGCAGAAUAAGCACCGGCUAACUACGUGCCAGCAGCCGCGGUAAUACGUAGGGUGCAAGCGUUAAUCGGAAUUACUGGGCGUAAAGCGUGCGCAGGCGGUUAGGUAAGACAGAUGUGAAAUUCCCGGGCUCAACCUGGGAACUGCAUUUGUGACUGCCUGACUAGAGUGCGGCAGAGGGGAGUGGAAUUCCGCGUGUAGCAGUGAAAUGCGUAGAUAUGCGGAGGAACACCGAUGGCGAAGGCAACUCCUUGGGCCUGCACUGACGCUCAGGCACGAAAGCGUGGGGAGCAAACAG